rnacentral:ribozyme from 13 species
AAAGAAGGAAGAGCAACAAAAGAAGUUUCUCCACAGUCCCCAAAAUAAUGAAUCAUUUUCAAUUCCUUUUUCUCUUCUUUCUCUUCUCUCUUCUCUUUUCUGAUUGGUAUUUCUCCCAAUGUUUCAACUUCGAAUUGUUUUCCCCGAUAAAGAAAAAGAGAUAUGAGUUUGGGGUCAAAAGAAGGAAGAAAAAGCGUUUCAAAUUUUGAUUCAAUUUCCAAAUUGACUUGAUCAAGAAGAAGAGAAAGAGAAAGAUUA